rnacentral:rRNA from 1 species
GAUGAACGCUAGCGGUGCGCCUAACACAUGCAAGUCGCGCGAUCGAACCGAACCAAUUACCCUUCGGGGUAAGCGGAUCGGCAACGGAGCGGCGGACUGGUGAGUAACACGUGGCUAACCUACCCUCUUGACGAGAAUAACCCUUCGAAAGGAAGGCUAAUACUCGAUAUUGUUUGAGUUCGAUGGAUCCUAAACCAAAGGCGGUUCUGCCGUCGCAAGGGGAGGGGGCUGCGCCCUAUUAGCUUGUUGGUGAGGUAACGGCUCACCAAGGCAAUGAUGGGUAGCUGGUCUGAGAAGAUGAUCAGCCUCAUUGGGACUGAAAUACGGCCCAGACUCCUACGGGAGGCAGCAGUGGGGAAUCUUUCGCAAUGGACGAAAGUCUGACGGAGCGACACCGCGUGAGGGAUGAAUGCUUUCGAGUUGUAAACCUCUUUUCUGGGGGAAGAAUAAGGUCGCAAGGAAAUGUGCGUCCGAUGACGGUACCCUAGGAAUAAGCAUCGGCUAACUUCGUACCAGCAGCCGCGGUAAUACGAAGGAUGCAAGCGUUAUCCGGAAUUACUGGGCGUAAAGGGCGUCUAGGCGGUUGAGCAAGUCACCUGUAAAAGUCCACGGCUUAACUGUGGAAUGUCUGGUGAUACUGCUUGACUUGGGUACAGGAGAGGAGGGUGGAACUCACAGAGUAGCGGUGGAAUGCGUAGAUACUGUGAGGUACCCCGAUGGCGAAGGCAACCCUCUGGCCUGUUACCGACGCGGAAGCGCGAAAGCGUGGGGAGCGAAGGGGAUUAGAUACCCCCGUAGUCCACGCCGCAAACGAUGUUCACUGGGUGUCGGUCAUUAAUUAGAUCGGUGCCGGAGCUAACGCAUUAAGUGAACCGCCUGGGGACUACGGCCGCAAGGCUAAAACUCAAGAGAAUUGACGGGGCCCUGCACAAGCGGUGGAGCACGUGGUUUAAUUCGAUGAUAAGCGAAGAACCUUACCUGGACUUGACAUACUAGCAGUAGGAGCCAGAGAUGGUGACGACCCCUACCUUUGGUAGGGGAACUAGUACAGGUGAUGCAUGGCUGUCGUCAGCUCGUGUCGUGGGACGUUGGGUUAAGUCCCGAAACGAGCGCAACCCCUGUUGUUAGUUGCCAGCGGGUAAUGCCGGGGACUCUGACAAGACUGCUGGUGAAUAGCCGGAGGAAGGAGGGGAUGACGUCAAGUCAUCAUGUCCCUUAUGUCCAGGGCGACACACAUGCUACAAUGGGAGGUACAAAGGGCUGCUAAACCGCAAGGUCAUGCUAAUCCCAAAAAGCCUUCCUCAGUUCGGAUUGAGGUCUGCAACCCGACCUCAUGAAGCCGGAAUCGCUAGUAAUCGCAGGUCAGCCACACUGCGGUGAAUACGUACUCAGGGCUUGUACACACCGCCCGUCACACCAAUCGAGUAGAGGGGACCUGAAGUCGUCUUAUGGACGCCUAAGGUAACUUCUGUAAGAGGGGUG